rnacentral:rRNA from 1 species
AGCGAACGCUGGCGGCAUGCUUAACACAUGCGAGUCGCACGAACCUUUCGGGGUUAGUGGCGGACGGGUGAGUAACGCGUAGGAAUCUAUCCACGGGUGGGGGAUAACUCUGGGAAACUGGAGCUAAUACCGCAUGAUACCUGAGGGUCAAAGGCGCAAGUCGCCUGUGGAGGAGCCUGCGUUCGAUUAGCUAGUUGGUGGGGUAAAGGCCUACCAAGGCGAUGAUCGAUAGCUGGUUUGAGAGGAUGAUCAGCCACACUGGGACUGAGACACGGCCCAGACUCCUACGGGAGGCAGCAGUGGGGAAUAUUGGACAAUGGGGGCAACCCUGAUCCAGCAAUGCCGCGUGUGUGAAGAAGGUCUUCGGAUUGUAAAGCACUUUCGACGGGGACGAUGAUGACGGUACCCGUAGAAGAAGCCCCGGCUAACUUCGUGCCAGCCGCCGCAGUAA